UACGUAGGGUGCAAGCGUUUGUCCGGAAUUAUUGGGCGUAAAGAGCUCGUAGGCGGUCUGUUGCGUCGGCUGUGAAAACCCGGGGCUCAACUCCGGGCCUGCAGCCGAUACGGGCAGACUAGAGUUCGGCAGGGGGAGACUGGAAUUCCUGGUGUAGCGGUGAAAUGCGCAGAUAUCAGGAGGAACACCAGCGGCGAAGGCGGCGCUCUGGGCCGGUACUGACACUGAGGAGCGAAAGCGUGGGUAGCAAACAGG
rnacentral:rRNA from 1 species